AUCACCUCUCAAGCCUGGCUUGCUGUUGGACCUUAGUUAAGCUCUUAGCUUCAACUGGUCCCAAAGAUAAUGAGGCGUCUGUGAGGACCCCAGUACACUGAGCUUUUCAAGCACGUAUUAGGUGGGAGUCCAGACCCGGUCUUACUUAUUUUAUUACUAAGGUUGACCUCGGAUCAGGUAGGAAUACCCGCUGAACUUAA
rnacentral:misc_RNA from 1 species